rnacentral:rRNA from 1 species
AGCAGUCGCCGCGGUAAUACGAAGGGGGCUAGCGUUGCUCGGAAUCACUGGGCGUAAAGGGUGCGUAGGCGGGUCUUUAAGUCAGGGGUGAAAUCCUGGAGCUCAACUCCAGAACUGCCUUUGAUACUGAAGAUCUUGAGUUCGGGAGAGGUGAGUGGAACUGCGAGUGUAGAGGUGAAAUUCGUAGAUAUUCGCAAGAACACCAGUGGCGAAGGCGGCUCACUGGCCCGAUACUGACGCUGAGGCACGAAAGCGUGGGGAGCAAACAGGAUUAGAUACCCCAGUAGUCCCUGUCUCUUAUAA